rnacentral:tRNA from 1 species
GCAGUGGUGGUUCAGUGGUACAAUUCUCGUCUUCUAUGUGGGAGACUUGGGUUUGAUUCCCAGCCAGCA